rnacentral:rRNA from 1 species
UACGUAGGGAGCAAGCGUUGUUCGGAAUCACUGGGCUUAAAGCGUGCGUAGGCGGCCCAUUAAGUGCCUUGUGAAAUCCCUCGGCUCAACCGAGGAAUUGCUGGGCAUACUGACGGGCUUGAGGCAGGUAGAGGCGAGUGGAACUCUUGGUGGAGCGGUGGAAUGCGUAGAUAUCAAGAGGAACGCCAGAGGUGAAGACGACUCGCUGGGCUUGUCCUGACGCUGAGGCACGAAAGCCAGGGGAGCAAACGGG